AGAAUCAACGCUGGCGGCGUGCCUAACACAUGCAAGUCGAACGCGAAGAUCCCGCAAGGGAUUGGUAGCGUGGCAAACGGGUGAGUAACACGUGGGUGACCUGCCUUCGAGCGGGGGAUAACGUCCCGAAAGGGACGCUAAUACCGCAUGACAUCCUGCCUUUGAAUAGGUGGAGAUCAAAGCCGGGGAUCGCAAGACCUGGCACUUGAAGAGGGGCCCGCGCCUGAUUAGCUAGUUGGUGAGGUAAUGGCUCACCAAGGCAACGAUCAGUA
rnacentral:rRNA from 1 species